rnacentral:lncRNA from 1 species
GAUUCUAAAAGAAAAAGAAGGAAAUAUUUUAUAUGUCUAACUUUUAACCAGGAAUUGUGGGAGGUUUUCAAUGUUUAAGAAACUGUUUAAGAAGUUUUCUUUAUGAUCAAAAUAUGUUUAUUCUCUCAAUUUCUGAACCAAUAAUUGGCUUGUCAUUUUAAAGCCUUAACAAAGUUAUUGUGGCAAAAUAUUUUCUUGAAAAAUAAUGCAUCUAAUUUUCGACUUCCUGUGGCCCUACUACUAUCCUUGCUUCCCAAAACAAAGGUCUCCAACUCAGGCAAAUACAGUCUCUGCAAAGUGGAACUCAAAAUAUUAACGAGUCACUGCAAGAAAGAAUACAGUGUAAAGGAAAUUUGGAUGGGACUGCAAGUAAAAUCAAUGAAGUCUAUCCAAAUGUAGAUCCUGGAGGAAUACAAUCUGUGUCUCUUACAUCAAGAAAGACUUAGUACUCUCCAAGAAUACCAUUUUGUACCAAGUUCAAACUGGAGGAUCACAAGUCUUUACAUGUGACUUAGGAAACAGGAAGAAGCAACCAAACCAAUCUAAGUGAGGCUUCAUUAAGGAACCCCAAUUUCAUUAUGUUAUGAGCCCUGAUUUAGUCACUGAAACCCUUACCUACAAGGCAUCGGCGAGUUUGGGACUUAAGCAUUUGCUGCCUGAUCCUCCUUGCUUGGGCACUGCAUACCAACACCUUCCUUUCUACAGCUGCAAACCUUCCUUUACAUAUCUGGUUCUACUGUGCCAGGUCUCAGGGAAAAGGAAAUUCAGUUCAUAUUAAAACUGGAAAAUUCCAUACAAUUUUUAAAUUAAAAAUUACAAAAUAAUUUUUAAAUGCAGAAAUUCCGGAAAAGAAGAAGGAGAAGAAGAAAUAGCUUUGGUCUGUCAUAAAGUGAAAUGGGAUCUUGAUUGAAUUUUUUUCUCUCGACACUCUGAAGGACUUGGAAGAGGGAAGGUACUAUUGGAAAGGAUUUUGAAUAAAGUUUAAUUCCUGACUCAAA